rnacentral:rRNA from 1 species
UACGGGGGGGGCAAGCGUUGUUCGGAAUUACUGGGCGUAAAGGGCUCGUAGGCGGCCAACUAAGUCGGAUGUGAAAUCCCCAGGCUCAACCUGGGAACUGCAUCCGAUACUGGAUGGCUUGAAUUCGGGAGAGGGAUGCAGAAUUCCAGGUGUAGCGGUGAAAUGCGUAGAUAUCGGAGGAAUACCGGUGGCGAAGGCGGCAUCCUGGACCGACAUUGACGCUGAUGAGCGAAAGCUAGGGGAGCAAACGGG